AUGUAAAAUCGUAUUAAUAAGAAUAAGCAGCUGUGGUAUAGUGGUGAAU
rnacentral:guide_RNA from 1 species